AGAGACUUAGGAUAGUUAGACCAAGAGCCUUCAAAGCUCUAAGCAGGAGUUAAAGUCUUCUAGUCUCUG
rnacentral:tRNA from 5 species